AACGAACGCUGGCGGCGUACUUAACACAUGCAAGUCGGACGAGAAAGGAGACUUCGGUCUCUGAGUAAAGUGGCGCACGGGUGCGUAACACGUAAGUAAUCUACCCCGAACUCUGGGAUAACGCUCCGAAAGGAGGGCUAAGACCGGAUAGGGUCCCCGAGGUGUAGGCUGCGGGGGGAAAACGGGCCUCUGUUUCAUGCUCGUGGUUUGGGAUGAGCUUGCGGCCCAUUAGCUUGUUGGUAGGGUAAUGGCCUACCAAGGCGACGAUGGGUAGCUGGUCUGAGAGGAUGAUCAGCCACACUGGCACUGAGACACGGGCCAGACUCCUACGGGAGCAGCAGUGGGGAAUUUUGCGCAAUGGGCGAAAGCCUGACGCAGUAACGCCGCGUGGAGGAUGAAGGCCU
rnacentral:rRNA from 1 species